GGAAGGAGAGGCAGCCAGGCUGCGGCGCCGGGCAACCCCGCGUCGGCGGCCGGUCCCGGGCUGCUGAUGGAGGUCGAAAGCCCCGGCGAGGAGGAUUACGAGAGCCUGCCCACCAGCGCCACCCUGGGCACGCACAUGAUGGCCGGGGCGGUGGCCGGCAUCCUGGAGCACACGGUCAUGUACCCCGUGGACUCCGUCAAGACCCGGAUGCAGAGUUUGCAGCCUGACCCCAAAGCCCAGUACAGAAGUGUGUUUGAGGCCCUGAAGAAGAUGGUCCAGACGGAAGGCUUCUGGAGACCCUUGCGAGGGAUCAACGUGACUGUGGUGGGAGCAGGCCCAGCGCAUGCCCUGUACUUUGCCUGCUAUGAGAAAAUGAAACAGAGUUUAAGUGACAUUAUUCGCCACGGAGGGAACAGCCACCUGGCCAACGGAAUGGCUGGGAGCUUAGCUACCCUACUCCAUGAUGGUGUUAUGAAUCCAGCUGAAGUGGUGAAGCAGCGCAUGCAGAUGUACAACUCUCCGUACAAGACUGUCCUGGAGUGCAUCCGGACGGUGCAUCGGACGGAAGGGAUGGGCGCCUUCUACCGGAGCUACAGCACCCAGCUCACCAUGAACAUCCCCUUCCAAGCCAUUCACUUCAUCACCUAUGAGUUCAUGCAGGAGCAGAUCAACCCCUGCCGGCAGUACAAUCCCAGCACGCACAUCAUCUCGGGGGCUGUGGCUGGGGCUGUGGCGGCCGCCGCCACGACUCCCCUGGACGUCUGCAAGACUCUCCUCAACACGCAAGAGAACGUGGUGUUGAGUUCUGUGAACGUUAGCGGACAUCUCUCCGGAAUGGCCAAUGCCUUUAGGACAGUGUACCAGCUGGGGGGCAUCGCUGGGUAUUUUAAGGGGGUCCAGGCAAGGGUGAUAUACCAAAUGCCUUCAACUGCCAUUUCCUGGUCUGUGUAUGAAUUCUUCAAAUAUGCACUUACAAAGCGUGAACUGGAGAAAGGGACGCCGUGCUGACAUUCCCUGAUGCUGCAGCUGCAACCCAGAACCUCUGAGACGGCAGAGUCCCUUUGUGGGGGUGCUGGAAUUCUCCAGGGCUCUUUAUGUGACUGUGUAAAGGUUUCUGGUAGAUUCACCCCUGGGGUAUGCUGUGUGUGUGUUUGUGUGUGUGUGUGUGUGUGUGUGUGUGUGUGUUUGCAAAUUUCACUCCUUCAAGUGUGCUGAGGGGUGGGGCAUCAGUUUACAUUUCCUUAGGAAAACUUGCCUUGAAUCACUUCUUAGUUUUUGUUUUUAAAAAAGGAAAGGGCAAAAAAGACUGACAAGAGAAGGCAGCUCUUUGUUGCGGUACAGUUAUAAUGCCUCUGAACCAAAAAGCCUUUGCAGAGGCGGAGACAAACUUCACUCCCCCCCCCCCUCCAAAAGAGAGAGUUGUUGCUCUUGGCCCCCUGGCCUGUGCAAAUGAAGGUAUGUAGAGUUAGUUCUAGCACUUGUGAUAGCUUUGUGUUUGCUUUUUUAUUAACAUGUACAACUUUUAUGCUGUCCCAGAAACGUUUUGUCCAUACAAAGAGUACAGUUUACAGUGGUAGCUCUAGUUACAAACUUAAUUUGUUCCGGAGGUCCAUUCUUAACCUGAAACUGUUCUUAACUAGAGGUGUGCUUUCGC